UACAGAGGUCCCGAGCGUUUGUUCGGAUUCAUUGGGCGUAAAGGGUGCGUAGGCGGCAUGGCAAGUCGGGUGUGAAAUCCCGGGGCUCAACCCCGGAACUGCACUCGAUACUGCCGUGCUCGAGUGUUGGAGAGGAGACUGGAAUUUACGGUGUAGCAGUGAAAUGCGUAGAUAUCGUAAGGAAGACCGGUGGCGAAGGCGGCUACCUGGCCUAAUACUGACACUGAGGCACGAAAGCGUGGGGAGCAAACAGG
rnacentral:rRNA from 1 species